GAUGAACGCUGGCGGCGUGCCUAAUACAUGCAAGUCGAGCGAACGGACGAGAAGCUUGCGUCUCUGAUGUUAGCGGCGGACGGGUGAGUAACACGUGGAUAACCUACCUAUAUGACUGGGAUAACUUCGGGAAACCGGAGCUAAUACCGGAUGAUAUUUUGAACCGCAUGGUUCAAAAGUGAAAGACGGUCUUGCUGUCACUUAUAGAUGGAUCCGCGCUGCAUUAGCUAGUUGGUAAGGUAACGGCUUACCAAGGCAACGAUGCAUAGCCGACCUGAGAGGGUGAUCGGCCACACUGGAACUGAGACACGGUCCAGACUCCUACGGGAGGCAGCAGUAGGGAAUCUUCCGCAAUGGGCGAAAGCCUGACGGAGCAACGCCGCGUGAGUGAUGAAGGUCUUCGGAUCGUAAAACUCUGUUAUUAGGGAAGAACAUAUGUGUAAGUAACUGUGCACAUCUUGACGGUACCUAAUCAGAAAGCCACGGCUAACUACGUG
rnacentral:rRNA from 1 species